rnacentral:rRNA from 1 species
UACGAAGGGUGCAAGCGUUACUCGGAAUUACUGGGCGUAAAGCGUGCGUAGGGGGUUUGUUAAGUCUGUUGUGAAAGCCCCGGGCUCAACCUGGGAAUGGCAAUGGAUACUGGCAGGCUAGAGUGCGGUAGAGGGUAGUGGAAUUCCCGGUGUAGCGGUGAAAUGCGUAGAGAUCGGGAGGAACACCAGUGGCGAAGGCGGCUACCUGGACCAGCACUGACACUGAGGCACGAAAGCGUGGGGAGCAAACAGG